AGCAGCGUGGCUCAGUGGAAAGAGCCCGGGCUUGGGAGUCAGAGGUCAUGGGUUCGAAUCCUGUCUCUGCCA
rnacentral:tRNA from 1 species